AGAAAGUAACGAAUUUCCAAGAAGCACACUGGCGAGAAAAGCUUGUAGAUAUUGUAUAGAGGUGCCCGUACCGCAAACCGACACAGGUAGAUGAGGAGAGGAUCCUAAGAUGAGCGAGAGAAGCAUUGUUAAGGAACUCGGCAAACUGACCCCGUAACUUAGGGAGAAGGGGUACUGGGAUAAAACCCAGUCGCAGAGAAUAGUCCCAAGCAACUGUUUAACAAAAACACAGGUUUCUGCUAAAUCGAAAGAUGAAGUAUAGGAGCUGACACCUGCCCAGUGCUGGAAGGUUAAGGGGAAAUGUCAAGAGUAAUCUGAAGCAUAGAACCAAAGCCCCAGUGAACGGCGGCCGUAACGAUAACGGUCCUAAGGUAGCGAAAUUCCUUGUCAGGUAAGUUCUGACCCGCACGAAAGGUGUAAUGAUUUGGGAGCUGUCUCGACAAUGUACUCGGCGAAAUUGUAGUACUAGUGAAGAUGCUAGUUACCUGCGACAAGACAGAAAGACCCCAUGGAGCUUUACUGUAGUUUGAUACUGGGUUUUGAUUAUUUAUGUACAGGAUAGGUGGGAGACGAUGAAGCAUUGGCGCCAGUCGAUGUGGAGUCACCCUUGGGAUACCACCCUUAAAUGAUUGAAAUUCUAACCAAUAGUCAUAAACUGGCUAGGGGACAAUGUCAGACGGGCAGUUUGACUGGGGCGGUCGCCUCCAAAAGAGUAACGGAGGCGCGCAAAGGUUUCCUCAGCGCGGACAGAAAUCGCGCAAAAGAGUGCAAAGGCAGAAGGAAGCUUAACUGAGAGACUGACAAGUCGACCAGAUACGAAAGUAGGUCUUAGUGAUCCGGUGGUUGUAAGUGGAAAUGCCAUCGCUCAACGGACAAAAGUUACCCUGGGGAUAACAGGCUUAUCUCCCCCAAGAGUUCACAUCGACGGGGAGGUUUGGCACCUCGAUGUCGGCUCAUCACAUCCUGGAGCGGAAGUACGUUCCAAGGGUUGGGCUGUUCGCCCAUUAAAGUGGUACGCGAGCUGGGUUCAGAACGUCGUGAGACAGUUCGGUCCUUAUCUGUCGCAGGCGGAGGAUAUUUGAGGGGAGUUGGCCCUAGUACGAGAGGACCAGGCUGAACUUACCAAUGGUGCACCAGUUGUCAUACCAAUGGCAUAGCUGGGUAGCUAAGUAGGGAAGGGAUAAACGCUGAAAGCAUCUAAGUGUGAAGCCCACCCCAAGAUAAGAUAUCCCAUACCGUAAGGUAGUAAGAUUCCACGUAGACUAUGUGGUAGAUAGGUUGGAGGUGUAAGUAUAGUGAUAUAUUAAGCUGACCAAUACUAAUAAAUCGAGGGCUUAAUC
rnacentral:rRNA from 1 species